rnacentral:lncRNA from 1 species
GAAAGAAAUGAGAAAUAACUGAAGUAAUGAAAUUACCUCCUGUGUAGUGGCUUUUAAAUAGGCUCUGAAACCUUUCUCCAAAUGUAACUCAAAUAUUGAAUCACGGGGAACUGUUUCCCUCCCCAAAAGGCUAGCUUCUCCAACGUCCGUAAAGUUCAGUGCAUGGCCACUUAGUCCAACUUCCCUCUCACUGCAGACAUCUUUCUGAUGCAGUCAACCACCCUGCACCUCCGUGUGUGUCUCCAGCCUUGUGGACACACUUUCAUGAAAUAUUUUUUGAAACAUGACCGUAGAAGAAAAUGGAUGAUGUGAGAUUGUGAGAAUGUGUUCAACAUUACAGUUUGUCUUUGUUGAAAUAAGGUGUGCCACUGUCUGCCUCAACUGUAGACUUCUAAGCCAUCUCCUUUUUCUUCUCUAAUAAACCGGGCGAAGUCUGGAUCAUGAGCUGACCACCCUUUCACCUCCAUUAUUAGAGGACAUUUUGCUACUUCCUCAAUAUUCUCAACGCAUGGCUUUUCUCUGAAAGUUCUGCAUGCUCGCCAAGAAAUAUAUAACAUCAGCUCGGUUCCAUGGCUCCUGCCUGUAAUUCCAGCUCUUCGGGAUGCUGAGACUGGUGAAUCACUUGAGCUCAGGAGUUUGAGACCAGCCUGGGCAACAGGACAAAGCCCCAUCUCUAUUAAAAAUACAAAAAUUAGCCCAGUGUGGUGGUGCACAUCUGUGGUCCCAGCUACUCUGGAGGAUCACUGGAGCCCGGGAGGUUGAGUUUACAGUGAGCCUUGAUUGAGUCACUGCACUUCAGCCUGAGUGACAGAGUGAGACAUUGUCUCAAAAAUAAAAAGGAAAAGAAAAUUUAUAACGACAAAGGUCAGGCAGGUUUGUUUAGAGACCACUAUGAAAAAUUUGAGCUUCCAAAGCUCAGAGUUUCUUUCCUGUGAUGCAACCGCCACAUAUGCAGGAAUCACCUGACGCUUUUCAUAUCACCCUGUGGUAAUUGAGACUUAAGAACUGGUCAAGAAAAUCAUGACACUCUGGCUAUACUGUCGUUGCUGUGAGUAUCACGCCAUCCAUUGUAUUAGACCCAAGAGUCUCAUAUCUUUCACAGUAUCUGUAAAACUGUAAUAGGAUAACAUCUUGAUUUGUAAGUAGGGAAAUAUUUGAGACCCUCAGCAGUUCUUAACAGUUUAUAAAAUUUCAUACCAUUCAUAGUUUCUGAUAAAAAUGUUUUUAAGGAACGCUUGUUUGAAGGCUUUGGAAUGCUACUAAGAUUGUGAAAAAUUUCAGGCCCAAGAUCUAAGAAAGAAAGGAGUGUUCUUCAUAGGAAAUAAUCUGGAGUCCAUUCUCUCUAUCCUGCUUUGUCCUUCCUGAAGUAAGUUCCAGUUUGUCAAUAUCUUAUGCAGAAUGUGGCAUUCAGAAAUAAGGACAAUUCUUCUAGUGAAAUAACUGAUGCUUAUUCUGUCUACAUCUUGUUAUUGCACGGCAAGAACAAGCAGUUGGACCUCAUUCAUCAGGGACCACCACCACUGUGUUCGACACCUUGGGCUAGGGAAGAAUGCUGAAUGUGUUCAUGAUUUGUCUGGGUACUCCUCCCAG